rnacentral:rRNA from 1 species
AGAGUUUGAUCCUGGCUCAGGACGAACGCUGGCGGCGUGCCUAAUACAUGCAAGUCGAGCGAACCAAUUGAAAGCCUAGCUUUCAUGAGGUUAGCGGCGGACGGGUGAGUAACACGUGGGUAACCUGCCCUAUAGACUGGGAUAACUCGCGGAAACGCGUGCUAAUACCGGAUAACACAUCAGAGUGCAUGCUUUGGUGUUGAAAGAUGGUUCUGCUAUCACUAUAGGAUGGACCCGCGGCGCAUUAGCUUGUUGGAGGGGUAACGGCCUACCAAGGCGACGAUGCGUAGCCGACCUGAGAGGGUGAUCGGCCACACUGGGACUGAGACACGGCCCAGACUCCUACGGGAGGCAGCAGUGAGGAAUAUUGCGCAAUGGGCGAAAGCCUGACGCAGCAACGCCGCGUGGAGGACGAAGGCCUUCGGGUCGUAAACUCCUUUUCUGGGGAACGAGGAAGGACGGUACCUCAGGAAUAAGUCUCGGCUAACUACGUGCCAGCAGCCGCGGUAAU